rnacentral:rRNA from 1 species
UACGUAGGGGGCAAGCGUUGUCCGGAAUCAUUGGGCGUAAAGCGCGUGUAGGCGGCUGAGUAAGUCUGCUCUGAAAGCCCGGGGCUCAACCCCGGGAGGCGGGUGGAUACUGCUCAGCUCGAGUCCGGAAGAGGAGUGUGGAAUUCCUGGUGUAGCGGUGAAAUGCGCAGAUAUCAGGAGGAACACCAAUGGCGAAGGCAGCACUCUGGGGACGGUACUGGACGCUGAGACGCGAAAGCGUGGGGAGCAAACAGGG